CCUAUGGAAUGCCGUAUCAAACGAAAGUAGUAAGUAGUAUCACGAAAUCGGACAUUGUGAAGUAGGAA
rnacentral:sRNA from 16 species